ensembl:lncRNA
GUUUCCCUGAUGUUAGCGCUGACACCGUGACACCGAGGUCCUCCCUCAGCUCAAACAAACACUUUCCUUUGAUUCCUCGCUGCGCAGCGCUCAUGAGCUCAUCCAGCCCUGGGCGACGUGGGGACAAGAGAGUGAACUCUUUCACUCUACUCCGAUAUAUCACUUACUUAUCUGUCUGGGAGAGAAGUUUAUGGAACCAUCUGACUCCAGGUGCAUCGUCAACUAAGGGCGACAAGAGUGUAAUUUGAAUAGGGAGCGACUCUAAAAGGGGAAUCGCCACUCUGUGCUUGGAGGACUCUGAGCCGUCGGCCGCUGUCCUGUGAGCAUAUUGGCCAGAGCUGGCAGCUGGAAUUGGUGGCAGCGUAGCAUGAUGACUUGGCUGCAGUGCCAUCUUCUGGUGACAGACGGCAAGGCUGAGACGACCACCCUCGGAAGCAGGAGGUGGAUGGAAACUAAAGAAGAAAGAGCAGAAGGAUUCGGACUUCAGCUGAACAGAUAACACAUAAUGCAAAGCAGAAAAGAGAUUGUGUAGUUGUGUGGUACGCCCGUAUCUCGCCCACGCGACCGUGGUUGCGGUGGAGACAGAAGACAUGAAAAUCUCCUAAACUCCUAGAAAGCCCUCCAGGGAUCCAUAGAAGUUUAACAUUCACCAAACCACAAGACCUGGGGAACUCCAACACAAAAGCACCAUUUAAAAGGCCUUUCACUGCAGAUGAUCAAGUCUAAUUGAGGCUCUGAUGCACCUGGCAGUAAAAAAAGUAACCCUUCAGUCAUGUGACAGCCUCACUGAUUCAUGCACUUGUGUGUGCAUGAGACAACAUGCGUCAUUCUUAAAAAAACGCGCAUCUGGCUGUAAGGAGGACUGGUGACAGGUUCUUUACGGUAAACAAAUCA